CAUGCAUGUUGUAUGAAGCCUUUGUGGUGGAUUUGCGGACGGCUCAGUGAUACUACGAUGAUCUGAUUGAGAAGUGUCUAUGUAACGAUGGGAAACUAUUGGUAAGGGAUGCUCGGGAUAGUUGUCAAUGAUGGUCAUUAUGAAUGUUGUUGAAGUUGAUGUUAUCAAGUGAGUUGUAGGCCUAUCAACUGGUAGUUAGGGUAAUGGCCUAACUAGGUGUAGACGGGAUACGGGGGAUCAGGGUUUGAUUCCGGAGAGGGAGCCUGAGAGAUGGCUACCACGUCCAAGGAUGGCAGCAGGCGCGAAACUUGCCUAUUCCUUUGUUGGGAGGCGGUUAUGAGAAGUUACUAGUAUUUUCCGAUUGCAAAGAGAUUGGAGUUGAUUGGAGGGCAAGUCGGGUGCCAGCAGCCGCGGUAAUACCUGCUCCAAUAGUGUCUAUGGUGAAUGCUGCAGUUAAAAGGUCCGUAGUUGUGAGUUGAUGUGUAUGUCUUUCAAUGUUCCGAGGUUGCUGGGGACUGUGGAUGUAUGUGUUGUUGGUAGCAAAGGAUGGGGUGCAUGGGAUAGUUGGGCGAGAGGUGAAAUGUGAAGACCCUGACUGGACGAGGCGAGGCGAAGGCGAUGUGCUUAGACUUAUGUGGUGAUCAAGGACGAAGGCUGGAGGAUCGAAAUCGAUUAGAUACCGUUUUAGUUCCAGCAGUAAACGAUGCCGACUAUCUGAUGCGUUUGGGCAUUGGGUGAGAGAAAUUGAAGUGUUUGGGCUCUGGGGAUAGUAUGUUCGCAAGGGUGAAACUUAAAGAGAUU
rnacentral:rRNA from 1 species